rnacentral:rRNA from 1 species
GCUUAUGGCCAUACCACCCUGAAUGCGCCCGAUCUCGUCUGAUCUCGGAAGCUAAGCAGGGUCAGGCCUGGUUAGUACUUGGAUGGUAGACCACCUGGGAAUCCCAGGUGCUGUAAGCU